UGCCGUUCCCUUUAUGUCAUUUAAAGGCUGC
rnacentral:piRNA from 1 species